rnacentral:rRNA from 1 species
CCGGUCUCAGUUCGGAUCGCAGUCUGCAACUCGACUGCGUGAAGGUGGAGUCGCUAGUAAUCGCGGAUCAGCAACGCCGCGGUGAAUGCGUUCCCGGGCCUUGUACACACCGCCCGUCAAGUCAUGAAAGUGGGCAGCACCCGAAGACGGUGGCCUAACCCUUGUGGGGGGAGCCGUCUAAGGUGAGGCUCGUGAUUGGGACUAAGUCGUAACAAGGUAUC